ensembl:lncRNA
AUGAGAGUAAACGCAAGAAGCUACUGGAAGCCAUCAGUUCUUUGGAUGCAAGAAAGAGGAAGAAGCAGAAUAAGCGCUCUGAAGCAAGUGUGCAGGUCUCCGAGUUCUUUGUCAAUGCUGAGGGAGAGAAGUCAACUUUUCUUACCUCCUGGGAACCAUGGAGAAGACCUCAGGAGCUUCCAACAAGACCAAGAAACAGCUGAGGAACCUGCAAAACAGUAA